rnacentral:snoRNA from 1 species
UGGACCAAUGAGGAGAGUAUUUACUGAGCUGAGGAUUAUGAUUAACCCACUUCAGAGUGUGUCUGGGUUCCAAA